rnacentral:rRNA from 1 species
AUACGUAGGGAGCGAGCGUUGUCCGGAAUUACUGGGCGUAAAGGGCGCGUAGGCGGCGCUUCAAGUCGUCUGUCAAAUGGGAGGGCUUAACCCUUUUUCGCAGACGAAACUGGAGAGCUUGAGAAGCAGAGAGGCAAACAGAAUUCCUGGUGUAGCGGUGAAAUGCGUAGAUAUCAGGAAGAAUACCAGUGGCGAAGGCGGUUUGCUGGCUGCAUACUGACGCUGAAGCGCGAAAGCCAGGGGAGCGAACGGGAUUAGAUACCCCGGUAGUCCUGGCAGUAAACGAUGUAUGCUGGGUGUGAGACUAGCGAUAGUUUCGUGCCGAAGUUAACGCGAUAAGCAUACCGCCUGGGGAGUACGGUCGCAAGAUUGAAACUCAAAGGAAUUGGCGGGG